AACCAAAAUGAUGUGGUGGAUGCACUACGUUUCCCAUGUAUGACUGCGGUUUAAAUCCCUCUUUCCCAAAGCAUUGUGGGAAUUGAGGAACUCCCUCCAAAGGUUAUCUGAUUUUUAAAAACUACAUUUCCCGAAUUGAUUGUACUGUACAUCUCCUGCUUAUUUGGUUCCUCCGUGUCGAGAUUCAUUUGAAAUAUUCGGCAUUUGCAGAUUUUCGCUGUAAAGGCGUACUUUUUGGUGAGGACUCUUGCGUUGACGGUAUCCAUGGCGCAGGAGGAUCAACACAGCCUGCAGGCUAAAUUUGCUGCUGCGGUUAAAGUCAUCUGGAGUUUACCGAAACAAGGUCCUUUCCAGCUGUCUGAUGACAUGAUGCUCAUGUUUUAUAGUUAUUACAAGCAAGCCACCGUAGGGCCUUGCACCUUUACCAGACCAACUGGUUUCUGGGCAUCACAGGAAAAAAACCAAUGGGAUGCAUGGAGCUCUUUAGGAAACAUGUCAAAGGAAGAAGCCAUGAAGAAUUAUGUUGAAAACAUCCAGCUGAUUUUGGAGACGAUGCCGGUCUCAAAUGAAGUUUCUGACUUGGUGCGGCAGCUUGGCAACUUCUACUCGGAAGAAGAGGAGGGUGGAGGUGAAGAGAAUGAAGUGGAGAGCAGACCUUUCACAAGGCCUUUUGCAAACCAAGCAGAGCUGGUCAGUCCAAAGAAACCCGCAAUGGAAGGCUAUGGAGAUCUGUGGGACGAUAUACAAAACCUCCAAGAAGAAACUAGCAUGAGCUUUAAUGGAGCAAAGGCGGUAGAAUGCGAGGAGGAUAUCGGAUAUCUGAGAAAAGAAGAAAUGGGUGAAGUGGACAAUGUAGACGAAGAAGACGAGGCGGAUGGAGAAGGGUGGGGCCUCGAGCCGAGGCUGCACGCGCCACAGGACACGACGUGGAGGUGUUGCACCAGGGGGUCCGGCAGCAGCGUAGAACCGAGCAUGUCGUCGUUGACCAACGGCACCCGCAGCUCCCUCGAUAGUGAGGUGGAGGAGGAAGAGCUGGCCUAUUCUAAACAACACAGCACGUGCGGCCCCAUCUACGUGGACUUUCAUGGACACUUGCUCGAUCACAACGAUGCUGUCAAGCAGAGCUACCACUUGGCAGACUCCGACAAUGAGGAAUUCUGUGAUUCAAUGGAUGAUCCAACCAUGGGCAAGCUUCCGUCUACGUCACAAAUCCAGUCAGGCGGCUCAACGUGUACCCUGGGGAAGGAACACGGUCUUUGGUUUGAGAGCUCCUCCGCCCUUAAAGCGGAAGACCGUUCACUUCGAGUCAAUUCUUGCGACGAGGAGCCUCACAAAGACGUUCGAGAGUCUCCGUCACCAAAGACUGCUUGCAGCUGUCAACUGUGGUUGCGUACCUGCGACAGCGUGUCAGAGUGCAGGCGCCACAGCGCCACUUCUUGGGCGAACGUCAAUGAGCAAAUAGUUAAGGCACUUUUGAAAUUGCAGGACGACAUGAGCGAUGCGCUGCAUCGGCUGCACACUUUAGAGGGGCUCACUGUGGCACAGCAUUUCAAGUCAAGCUCAUCCUUAUCGAGGUGUGCAGAUACUCCACCGCUAGCACAAAAGUUUUUCACACCUUCUUGGUGGCCGUUUGACCAUUCUCCAAUUACCAUGGUGAUGACAGCCCUUUGGCCUGCAAUAGCCUUUGGUCUGGUCCAGCUUUAUUCACGGCGCAAGCGACGAUGAAACAUCAUGGAACGGCUUUAACUAGAAUAGGCAUGACGAAACGAUCAAGAUUUAAACAUUUGUUGCAGAAUAAACAAGUCACCAAGUGUAGCUGCCCCAUUAUCUUUUGGUUCAUGGUAUUCACACAGGUAUUGUAACAUUUAGAAUUUGAGGAAGGAGCAGGAGGAGCUGCGGUUGCCAGUGUGAGUUUGUCAUGGCUGUCGCAGAAGGCCAUUUUCAAUAAAAGUGUGAACAUUACAAUAAUAAAGAUAAAAUGUUGGGAAAAUGUGUACCUUUGUUAUUAUUU